CACCUUUUCCCCUCCUUUCGUUGUUUUGGUACCGGUUUUGCAGGCGUUUCGGAUAUUGUAUUUAUUUAUUAAUUUUUUUUAAGAGUCUAUCAGUCUAAACUCAAUGUUCGUAAUUAUAACGAUGCAUCUGUACUUUUAUUUGGUAACGAAGCAAAAAGAGAAUAUUAUUUCUCCAAUGGGUUCUGGUAUUAGGCAUUCAUCCUUAGUUCUUUAAUAUGUGUCAUAUUAAAAGUUUGCAGUAAGAUCAAAUGAAACAACCAAGUGUCAGUUUACUGGACAAAAUGCUGUACACUUAUUUUCAGGUGGUUAUGUUUUUUGAUGUUGCUUGCCUUGGUAAACCUGCAUUUAUUCUUGCUAGACAUGUGCAAUAAUAUUUUCUUAGAAACUGGAGGUUUCAUAGAUCUUUGCUUUCUUUCUUCUAAAUGCACCCUAAUCUUCAGUACUAAUACAUAGUUUUAAACAUAUUUGAUACAUGUUAGUAAAGUUUUAAAGAAAUUGUAUAUCUUAAUAACGUUUUCCUUGUAUUCAAGGAUUUUUUCAAUGAUUAGAAUGUAUAUCUCAAGGUGUAUGGUGUGAUUUUGGAAUAAUUAAGUUCAUUUUUGCUGCCUUAAUUAAAUUUGUUAUAAAUUAUA
rnacentral:misc_RNA from 1 species